GACGUAGGGCGCGAGCGUUGUCCGGAUUUAUUGGGCGUAAAGAGCUCGUAGGCGGCUUGUCGCGUCGACUGUGAAAACCCGCGGCUCAACUGCGGGCUUGCAGUCGAUACGGGCAGGCUAGAGUUCGGUAGGGGAGACUGGAAUUCCUGGUGUAGCGGUGAAAUGCGCAGAUAUCAGGAGGAACACCAGGUGGCGAAGGCGGACUACCUGGCCUGAU
rnacentral:rRNA from 1 species